rnacentral:rRNA from 1 species
AUUGAACGCUGGCGGCAGGCCUAACACAUGCAAGUCGAACGAGUGGCGGACGGGUGAGUAAUGUCUGGGAAACUGCCCGAUGGAGGGGGAUAACUACUGGAAACGGUAGCUAAUACCGCCUACCAUCGGAUGUGCCCAGAUGGGAGUAGCUUGUAGGUGAGGUAACGGCUCACCUAGGCGACGAUCCCUAGCUGGUCUGAGAGGAUGACCAGCCGCGUUGGAACUGAGAGACGGUCCAGACUCCUACGGGAGGCAGCGAUGGGGAAUAGUGCGCAAUGGGCGGAAGCAUGAUGCAGCCAUGCCGCGUGUAUGAAGAAGGCCUUCGGGUUGUAAAGUCCUUUCAGCGGGGAGGCGUUACCCGCAGAGGAAGCACCGGCUAACUCCGGGCCAGCAGCCGCGGUAAUAC